GGGCCUGUAGAUUAGUGGAAGAUCAUUGACUCGCUAUCAAGAGGUCACGGGUUCAAUUCCCGUCAGGUCCA
rnacentral:tRNA from 1 species